rnacentral:ribozyme from 1 species
CAAAAGGAAGGAGAGAGGAAUAAAAGUGGACAAUGAAAUAAAAAGAAAAAUAUGCACACUAAAACAUUAUUCUUCCCUCGUACUCGCCACUCCCUGUCCCCACUCCCUUGAUUUUUCUUCCUUGUUUCCUUCUUUCCUGAUCCUUU